GUUAGUGUUGUUGAAUGGGCAUACAGUCGCAGCGCUGACGCACGGACCUGCGGCAGCCAAUAGAUGCCCAGACCGUUCUCUGUGUAAGCAGCAGCUCACUCUUUCAGAAAUGGAGGAAACGGCGCUGUAAAAAGGCCACACUUUUGUAAACACAUAAUCAUAUUAUUGUCAACGGCUUAAUACAGGAAUUUCAAUGUCAGUGGCAAAUGCAAAACAGACCAUUCUCAAUCCGACAGUUCCCUUCACAGAGAUCAUACCGGGUGGUCUUCUCCUAGGAGAGAUGAUUGUUAUUCAGGGAUGUGUUCGUAAUGAUGCUGACAGGUUUCAGUUUGAUCUGACGUGUGGCAGCAGCACUAAGCCACCGGCAGACAUUGCCUUUCACUUCAGUCCGCACUUCAGCAGUUCUCCACGGAUUGUGUGCAACUCCUUACAACGUGGAAGCUGGGGCAGAGAGGAAAAUAUGGACCUGAUGCCUUUCAAACAGGGAGCAUUCUUUGAGACCAUCAUCCUGGUGCUCUGUGAUGUUUUCAAAGUGGCUGUAAACGGUGCUCAUGUUUUGGAGUACAAGCACAGAAUUCCACUUGAGAGGGUUGACACAUGUUCAGUCUCUGGAAAAGUAGAAAUUCAUGCAAUCAGCUUUGUCCCUGAUUCAGCUGUAUUUUCAAAAUCAGCUGACCUUAGCAUACCCUACAAGGGCAGUUUACUUAGAGGGCUCACUCCAGGGAAGCAUAUAACAAUCAAAGGGCAUAUCAGUUUAUUCCCUCACAGUUUCACUGUUAACCUGAGGUGCAGUCAAUCAGACAACAUUGCUCUACACCUAAACACACGCAUCAGAACAGGCAUGCUCAUCAGGAACUCUUUUCUUAGCCAAUCAUGGGGCCUGGAGGAAUGUGAACUACCAUACUUUCCUUUCUCUGCUGGAAAAUACUUUGAGAUGAUCAUCCUGUGUCAGUCUUAUCAGUUUAAGAUCGCGGUAAACGGAUCCCACCUACUGGACUACAGACACAAGGUUCAGGACUUUAGCUCUAUUGACCAGCUGGAGAUUCUGGGUGAUGUGGAACUGCAGAGCGUUCAAUUGUGCACAAAUGUCAGAGAAUUCAGAAGAACUGAAGAAACUGGAACGAGCCAUAUUUGUUCGACUGGACAAAGUGGACCAGAAACUUUCAGAUAUCAAAUCCAUGCUUUUAGGUCUUGUCCCACCAAAUGACUCUUCUGAUGAGUUUCUGUUAAAUCCUUGCCAGAGCACAAAUUAAUUGAAUGAUUUGUGCUUGAAAUUAAAAGACAGCGAAUAUAAGAAUAAAACUAUCCAUCACCUAAGCCUUCUUGGUAGCAAAACUCCAGGUGAUGCUGUAAGGAGGGUGUUGCGCACAGUUGCCACAAACAAUGUGAGGGCUCAGUACAGCAUGAAGGGUCGAAAGGGAAAGAAAAGUCUUGAAGACCUGGAAAUUUGCACGGUGAUCAUUCGUAAGUGUUCAAUUAAAAGAUUUUCUGUACCUCAACUGUGAUAUUGCUUUAAUACAAGUUUAAUCAGCAAGCAUAUUUGUUCAAUAAAUGGCCAUUUAAAACAGAUAUUCUGAUACACAAAGAUAUUAUUUUUUACUUUUGCCUAUCUAUGCUAAAUGGUUAUUUCAGAAUCCCAACAGAAUUCAUUCAGAUUCACUGCACCUGUAAAAUGGUGGGAUACAUUCUUUAGAACAUCUUUGUUUUGUUAAGCUCUUUAGAGCUUUUCACACGGUUUAUCCAUAGUUUAAAGGAGAUGUUAAACCAGGGUUAAGGAAAAUUGUAGCCAUUAUAAUCAAUUAGAUUGUAUACUCUGGAUGUGUCGCCACAUUGCGUUGCACAAACAAUAGAACAGGGUUCCAAUAUGUCAGUGAAAUACCUCUUUUGAAAAUAAAACAGGAUGCAGGUUAUUCAGACAUUUUAUUAAUUGUUGAAGUCUACUCAAGUUCAAAGCUGAUUGUCUGUGCUUUAUGUAAAUUUACAUUUAUUCAUUUAUUAUAGCCUUUAUUUAACCAGUAUAACCUCUCUGAGAUUAAAAAUCCUUCACCGGAGUGUGAAAGCAAGUAAAUCAAAUAUACAUAACCUAAUUAAAAUCAACAUAAUUCUGUAAAAUUUAACAGAAGCUUUUAUCCAAAUCGACUUACAAAUGAGGAAUACAACAAGCCAUUUAUCAGCAAUAACAUGAGAAGUGCUAACAAUACGAGGUUCCAAAGUCAUUCAGAAAAGUACAGGCUAGAACAGGGAGAGAAGAAAUAGUAAAAGUUUGUCAUUUUGAAUGUUCACUUCACAUCCGGAGUAGACAGACUCAAGCUCAUGUGCCAUCUGCCUUGCACAGUGUAGACAGGGUGUUAUUGUACUGUCAGUUGAAAAUAAGAAUGUUUAAAAGUUUUUAUUUUUGAUGCAAACAAAUUAUUUAUGAAAAAUAUGUUUUUAGAGGCAUGCCACAAGAUACAUCCAAAGGUGUCUAUAAAGGUGUUUGUUGAAUGCAUUGCAGAAACCUUAAAGUAUGCUCCACAUCGUGGAACAAGGGUAAGUUUUUAUAACAACAUGGAUGCGAUGACUUACUGGCAUAUUGGCAAGGCUUUAUGCACAUAUGUGAUCUUUUGACACGCAUAACCCCCCCCCCCCCCCCCCCCUUAACUGUUUCCAGGCACUAGAUAACCAGUCAGUGAUAUUUGUUUAUACUAGAGCAUAUAUAUCUGUUGUGUAACUUAAUUACCAUAUUACAAUUACUACAAGUUUUAUUUUUAUUAAACUGUUUCAGUUUAAAUGAGUCUUAAUCUGUUCAGAAUAUUCUUGUUCUUUUCUCUUUUUCUCAAAAAUUAAAAUUGGUUGACUGAUGGUUAAUUUUAAUGCAAUUUGUAAUUGAAAGAUUUCUCACAGUUUUAAGGAUUGUUUCACUGUGGAACAUAAAAAUGUAGUACAGCAUCCAAGCUGUUCUUUUACAUACAUAUAUUAGAAUGUAGACUCUAGGGUAAAGGGAGUAAAGUGACUAUGCAAACUCGAAAAAACAAUUGAAGCAUAAACAAUAUUUACCGGCUAAGGUGCAAAGCAAGAUUUGAAUGAAUGGAUAAUUUGGUCUGUUUCUCACACAAAGAUAUCAUAUGGCAUUAGAUGACGUGGUAUCCAAGCCACAUGGCCUAAAGGUUUUUAUUUGUCUUUUCUUUGUACCUUACCUUAAGGUCUAACACUUGCACUGUGGCAGCAGUGGCGCAAUCAAAACAUUGUUUUAGGCACACAUUCAGGCCAACAUGCUUGGUUGUAUAAUAAAACAUGUUUUUUUUUUAGCAAUUUUCCUUGGUGGGAAAUGACACACUUCAGCUUUAGAGCAAAGAUUAUAAAAUAAGUUCAGUUGCAUGAAGUAGCUAAAGUGAAUGUCUUAUGAUAAUCUCAUAAUAUAAUAACAAUCAAAAAUAAUAACUUGAGGCAAUCUGUUCACUUCACAGGUGCAGAAUCAGGAAAGUGGACACCAGUAGUGUGUGUAAUGUGUUAAUGUUAUAAAAUGCACACACACACACAUUUAAUAUGAGGCUUCAUAAUUUUGCAUGAAAAUUUUAGAUGUAUCCGAAUUUGUAUUUGUUGUCCUUGUUUUUUAUACUAUUAAACCAGUUUUUUGAAAAUGGUUUGAACAUUUAUGGUUGUGAAAAGUUUUAAUAAAUAUUUCGUAUAACUUAAUUUGACAUGAUUUCUUUAUUAUGAGAAAGAAUACAGUUUGUAGGUUUUUUUUUUUUUUAGCAGGAAUGCUUUCCUUCAGAUGUUCUAUUCAUGGUAGGAAGACUGGACAUUUUCAUGUACUUGGAAUAUUACAAAUAAACAUUCCAAUAAUUAUAUUGUGAGGGGAAAUAAAGUUAGCAAAAUGUAAAAAACAUUACCCUUUCAAUGACAUU